rnacentral:lncRNA from 1 species
CACUCUCUAGACAAUUGUCAGACUUUCUUAGUUAUCAAUUACAAAACAACAAGAUUAAAUAACCAAACUAUAAACAAAAUUUGAAACCAUUAAUAUCUCCUUAUUCGCUUACUGCUUUUCCUCUUGUUUUGAUAGCAUGAAUCAAUUCAAGCAAUUGCCUUUAAUAGAGAUGUCAAUUACAUUCAUGAGAAAUUACAACUUUAUGAGAUCUAUUACAUUGCAAAUGCUGCUGUUGUACCAGUUACUGAUCCAAGAAACCAAAUUGGCUCUAUUCCGCUCUAGUUAACACUCACUAAAGCUGUCUUCAUCAAGAAAAUCAGCAAAACAGACUCACUUCAGCUAGCAAACCGCUUUCAUAUCACUGCAUUUUGGAGUCUUGACAAAUACAAG